AUUGAACGCUGGCGGCAGGCCUAACACAUGCAAGUCGAGCGGAUGAAGGGAGCUUGCUCCUGGAUUCAGCGUCGGACGGGUGAGUAAUGCCUAGGAAUCUGCCUGGUAGUGGGUGAUAACGUCCGGAAACGGGCGCUAAUACCGCAUACGUCCUGAGGGAGCAAGUGGGGGAUCGUCGGACCUCACGCUAUCAGAUGAGCCUAGGUCGGAUUAGCUAGUUGGUGGGGUAAAGGCCUACCAAGGCGACGAUCCGUAACUGGUCUGAGUGGAUGAUCAGUCACACUGGAACUGAGACACGGUCCAGACUACUAAGGGAGGCAGCAGUGGGGAAUGUUAGACAAUGGGCGAAAGCCUGGUACAGCCAUGCCGCGUGUGUGAAAAAGGUCUUCGGAGUGUAAAGCACUUUAAGUUGGGAGGAAGGGCAGUAAGUUAAUACCUUGCUGUUUUGACGUUACCAACAGAAUAAGCACCGGCUAACUUCGUG
rnacentral:rRNA from 1 species